rnacentral:tRNA from 2 species
GUGUCUGAAGUCAAAGUGGCCGAGACGCUAGCCUGUGAAGCUAGUAAUUAGGGAGUUCAAGUCUCCUCAGACACC